AAGGAUUUAAUUUAGAUUGAAAUGACAAUUAUGCCAUUGUCAUUUAAGUCUAAUUGCACCCAACACAAAUUCAUCUUCCUUAGACUCUCUUCAGAUACAGCUUAGAGCGACAACGACCUUGACGAGGACAAUGAAGCUCUCCACCAACGGCCACCUGAAAACUAUCAUCUCGUCAUUCGCUUGCAAACCUCCAAGCUCUCGAUUUCCUUCUCGAAACAGUUUCUCUCCCAAUCUUGCAAUCUCAGCUGCUCAGCACUUUCAGAAAAAGUUUGUCCUUCGCUCUACCAAAUAAAUUGGUCUGGCUAUAUAAACGUAUUCCCAUACCCCAAAUCUCUGUCACCAGCAAAAAGUCCAUAAUAUAGCCAUUGCAUUAUAAAGAUAGAGAGGAACAACGCAAAUGGAUAUGGAUACCCGCGCUAACAUUGUAAUCGUGUCCGUACUGGUCAUGUUUGCUGCCGUGGCCAACUCCGAGAUUACCAUAUGCAACGUCCCCCUUUCAGGGCUUCAGGCCUGCCUUCCGGCAGCUAAGCCACCCAGCCCACCACCACCGACGUCGGAGUGCUGUGCGUCAAUGAAGGAUGCCGACUUCUGCUGCCUGUACUCGUACCGAGACUCACCUUUGCUGCCUUCUCUCGGAGUGGACCCCAAGCUCGCCAUUCAGAUUCCUGACAAGUGCCACCUUGCUCAUCCUCCUCCUUCCAGUUGCUAAUGAAUCGAUGAAGCUUUCGUGAUGAUGGGACCAUAUUAACAUUAAUCUCGAUGAUGAUGGAGCGUGUUGAUUUUUAUAAUAUGUUUAUGAUUAAAGGUUGUCAUGUGAUAUUUAUAUGAUUAGUAUGUGAAAAAUAAUAUUGCAAAUUGAUAAGGCUUGUUUUUGGUGGA